UACGUAGGGGCCUAGCGUUGUCCGGAAUUAUUGGGCGUAAAGAGCUCGUAGGCGGUUUGUCGCGUCGAAUGUGAAAACCCGGGGCUCAACCCCGGGCCUGCAUUCGAUACGGGCAGACUAGAGUUCGGUAGGGGAGUCUGGAAUUCCUGGUGUAGCGGUGAAAUGCGCAGAUAUCAGGAGGAACACCGGUGGCGAAGGCGGGACUCUGGGCCGAUACUGACGCUGAGGAGCGAAAGCGUGGGGAGCAAACAGG
rnacentral:rRNA from 1 species